rnacentral:rRNA from 1 species
UACGUAGGUGGCAAGCGUUGUCCGGAAUUAUUGGGCGUAAAGCGCGCGCAGGCGGUCCUUUAAGUCUGAUGUGAAAUCACGUGGCUCAACCACGUGCGGUCAUUGGAAACUGGAGGACUUGAGUGCAGAAGAGGAAAGUGGAAUUCCAAGUGUAGCGGUGAAAUGCGUAGAGAUUUGGAGGAACACCAGUGGCGAAGGCGGCCCUCUGGCUCGACCCUGACGCUGAGGCGCGAAAGCGUGGGGAGCGAACGGG